ACAGAACUGAAAUCCUAAAUUUGCAUCUGUACAUUUCUCCUCUGUAGGCUAUAUAGGCAGAUUAUAUCUGUUCAUUCUCUGUAUAUAGGUAAACAUCUUUCUCAGUAAAUUUAUACGUUUGUACAUUGUACACACUGGACAGCACAUUCCAUAUUCUAUAUUUUGUACAUACUCCCCUAUAUCA